rnacentral:lncRNA from 1 species
CCAUUAAUGCAUACACAUCAGAACACCCAAUGACGAGAUUACCUGACACCACGGUGUUGGAUGUGUUAGCCUCCUGCUGAGUCAUGGUGAAGAUCCUGGCUGGAGCUGAUGGACCUUCACCUCGGGAACCAGAAGAAGAGGCUGCCCCUCUCCCUCUACCUCUGCCACUGCCCUGAGUUGUGGCUGGAGCUGCUGGCUGUGCCACAUUACCAGAAGCUGUCUGCUGGGGCUGGCCCAUAAAAGGUGCUCUAGGACACUCCCGAGCCAUGUGUCUCUCCUGUCCACAUCUGAA